GUGCUUGCUUUGGCAGCACAUAUACUAAAAUUGAAACAAUACAGAGAAGGCUAGCAUGGCCCCUGCACAAGAAUGAAACGCAAACUUGUAAAGCUUUCCAUAUUUUU
ensembl:snRNA U6 U6 spliceosomal RNA